rnacentral:rRNA from 1 species
UACAGAGGGUGCAAGCGUUGUUCGGAAUUAUUGGGCGUAAAGGGUGCGUAGGCGGGUCUUUAAGUCAGGGGGGAAAUCCUGGAGCUCAACUCCAGAACUGCCUUUGAUACUGAAGAUCUUGAGUCCGGGAGAGGUGAGUGGAACUGCGAGUGUAGAGGUGAAAUUCGUAGAUAUUCGCAAGAACACCAGUGGCGAAGGCGGCUCACUGGCCCGGUACUGACGCUGAGGCACGAAAGCGUGGGGAGCAAACAGG